GUCGAUUAUUUCAUCUUUCUUCAGAGUUC
rnacentral:piRNA from 1 species